rnacentral:rRNA from 1 species
UACGUAGGGUGCGAGCGUUAAUCGGAAUUACUGGGCGUAAAGGGUGCGCAGGCGGUCUCGUAAGCUGGGUGUGAAAGCCCCGGGCUUAACCUGGGAAUGGCAUUCAGGACUGCGAGGCUUUGAGUGCGGCAGAGGGAGGUGGAAUUCCACGUGUAGCAGUGAAAUGCGUAGAGAUGUGGAGGAACACCGAUGGCGAAGGCAGCCCCCUGGGCUAACACUGACGCUCAUGCACGAAAGCGUGGGGAGCAAACAGG